CCUACGGGUGGCUGCAGUGGGGAAUAUUGCGCAAUGGGCGAAAGCCUGACGCAGCGACGCCGCGUGAGGGAUGAAGGUCUUCGGAUCGUAAACCUCUGUCAGCAGGGAAGAACGGUCACUGUGCUAAUCAGCAGUGACUUGACGGUACCUGCAAAGGAAGCACCGGCUAACUCCGUGCCAGCAGCCGCGGUAAUACGGAGGGUGCGAGCGUUAAUCGGAAUUACUGGGCGUAAAGGGCUCGUAGGCGGUAUGGCAAGUCAAGGGUGAAAUCCCCGCGCUCAACGUGGGAACUGCCUUUGAAACUGGCAGACUGGAGUGUGUGAGAGGAUGGUGGAAUUCCAGGUGUAGGGGUGAAAUCCGUAGAUAUCUGGAGGAACAUCAGUGGCGAAGGCGACUAUCUGGCACAUAACUGACGCUGAGGAGCGAAAGCGUGGGUAGCAAACAGGAUUAGAUACCCCAGUAGUC
rnacentral:rRNA from 1 species